rnacentral:rRNA from 1 species
AUUGAACGCUGGCGGCAGGCCUAACACAUGCAAGUCGAGCGGAUGAAGGGAGCUUGCUCCUGGAUUCAGCGGCGGACGGGUGAGUAAUGCCUAGGAAUCUGCCUGGUAGUGGGGGAUAACGUCCGGAAACGGGCGCUAAUACCGCUUACGUCCUGAGGGAGAAAGUGGGGGAUCUUCGGACCUCACGCUAUCAGAUGAGCCUAGGUCGGAUUAGCUAGUUGGUGGGGUAAAGGCCUACCAAGGCGACGAUCCGUAACUGGUCUGAGAGGAUGAUCAGUCACACUGGAACUGAGACACGGUCCAGACUCCUACGGGAGGCAGCAGUGGGGAAUAUUGGACAAUGGGCGAAAGCCUGAUCCAGCCAUGCCGCGUGUGUGAAGAAGGUCUUCGGAUUGUAAAGCACUUUAAGUUGGGAGGAAGGGCAGUAAGUUAAUACCUUGCUGUUUUGACGUUACCAACAGAAUAAGCACCGGCUAACUUCGUG